GACGAACGCUGGCGGCGUGCUUAACACAUGCAAGUCGAACGGAAAGGCCCUGCUUUUGUGGGGUGCUCGAGUGGCGAACGGGUGAGUAACACGUGAGUAACCUGCCCUUGACUUUGGGAUAACUUCAGGAAACUGGGGCUAAUACCGGAGAGGAGCUCCUGCGGCAGGGUGUGGGUUGGAAAGUGUCGGCGGUUGGGGAUGGACUCGCGGCUUAUCAGCUUGUUGGUGGGGUAGUGGCUUACCAAGGCUUUGACGGGUAGCCGGCCUGAGAGGGUUACCGGCCACAUUGGGACUGAGAUACGGCCCCGCCUCCUACGGGAGGCAGCAGUGGGGAAUAUUGCACAAUGGGCGGAAGCCUGAUGCAGCAACGCCGCGUGCGGGAUGACGGCCUUCGGGUUGUAAACCGCUUUCGCCUGUGCCGCGGCGUGAGUGACGGUACUGGGUCAGGAAGCCCCGGCUCCCUACGUG
rnacentral:rRNA from 1 species